AAUAAAGAGAGAAUGCUUAGCGGACCUGAGCGACCACUUCAACGCAAUGCUGAUGUUGUACGACGAGGGUCUCCAAGGAGAUGACAAGGCACUGGCCAAUGCCCUUUGGCGUGUGCUUCUUACCUGUGAAGGCAGGGAUCCCGUGGCAUUGGAGACUCUUGUGCACUAUGUGCGAAAACAGGUUAAUAUGCUCGACAAGAUGACACUGGAUCAGUUUUUAACGGAAUACAACGUAAGCUGGACACCGCUGUGGACUGUGAG